rnacentral:rRNA from 1 species
UACGGAGGGUGCGAGCGUUAAUCGGAAUUACUGGGCGUAAAGCGCACGCAGGCGGUUUGUUAAGCUAGAUGUGAAAGCCCCGGGCUCAACCUGGGAUGGUCAUUUAGAACUGGCAGACUAGAGUCUUGGAGAGGGGAGUGGAAUUCCAGGUGUAGCGGUGAAAUACGUAGAUAUCUGGAGGAACAUCAGUGGCGAAGGCGACUCCCUGGCCAAAGACUGACGCUCAUGUGCGAAAGUGUGGGUAGCGAACAGG